AUUGAACGCUGGCGGCAGGCUUAACACAUGCAAGUCGAGCGAGCGGCGGACGGGUGAGUAAUGUCUGGGAAACUGCCUGAUGGAGGGGGAUAACUACUGGAAACGGUAGCUAAUACCGCAUACUAUCCGAUGUGCCCAGAUGGGAUUAGCUAGAAGGUGGGGUAAUGGCUCACCUAGGCAACGAUCCCUAGCUGGUCUGAGAGACUGACCGGGCCAACUGGAACUGAGACACGGUCCAGACUCCUACGGGAGGCAGCAGUGGGGAAUAUUGCACAAUGGGCGCAAGCCUGAUGCGGCCAUGCCGCGUUUGUGAGGAAGGCCUUCGGGUUGUAAAGCACUUUCAGCGAGGAGGCGUUACUCGCAGAAGAAGCACCGGCUAACUCCGUGCCAGCAGCCGCGGUAAUUC
rnacentral:rRNA from 1 species